ACCAGGACCAUUUCAGCUACUGCACUCCGUCUUACCUGCCAUUCUCCAACAGGUCGGGCUUCUACUGGAACGGCGUGGCCUUGUUCCCCGACCCCCCGAAAGACGGGCUGCGACAAACAAUUCUACAAUUCGUCCGUGCAGUUCGCCAACAUGGACCCGUUAAUGGACUACAUCAACAAGAACAGUAAGGACUUGGGGGUCACGGUCCGCUAUGCCACACUCGCCGAAUACUUCCGAGCCGUACACGAUGCGGAUCUUGUCUGGGAGGUGCGCGGGAGUGAAGACUUUCUGCCUUAUUCUACCGAGUCCCACCAGGCGUGGACAGGAUUUUACGCCUCUCGGAACAUCCUAAAAGGGGUGGCGCGGCGAGCCAGGGCCCACC